GUGUCAGCCGCCGCGGUAAUACGUAGGUGGCAAGCGUUGUCCGGAAUGACUGGGCGUAAAGGGCGUGUAGGUGGAUUGAUCAGUCGGAUGUGAAAUACCUGGGCUUAACCUGGGAACUGCAUUCGAUACGGUCAGUCUUGGGUGCAGGAGAGGGCAGUGGAAUUCCCAGUGUAGCGGUGAAAUGCGUAGAGAUUGGGAGGAACACCAGUGGCGAAGGCGGCUGCCUGGACUGUAACUGACACUGAGGCGCGAAAGCGUGGGGAGCAAACAGGAUUAGAUCCCCUGGUAGUCCACGCCGUAAACGAUGGGUACUAGGUGUAGGAGGUAUCGACCCCUUCUGGGCCGGAGUUAACACAAUAAGUACCCCGCCUGGGGAGUACGGCCGCAAGGUUGAAACUUAAAUGAAUUGGCGG
rnacentral:rRNA from 1 species